rnacentral:rRNA from 1 species
GACGAACGCUGGCGGCGUGCUUAACACAUGCAAGUCGAACGGAAAGGCCCUGCUUUUGUGGGGUGCUCGAGUGGCGAACGGGUGAGUAACACGUGAGUAACCUGCCCGUGACUUUGGGAUAACUUCAGGAAACUGGGGCUAAUACCGGAUAGGAGCUCCUGCUGCAUGGUGGGGGUUGGAAAGUUUCGGCGGUUGGGGAUGGACUCGCGGCUUAUCAGCUUGUUGGUGGGGUAGUGGCUUACCAAGGCUUUGACGGGUAGCCGGCCUGAGAGGGUGACCGGCCACAUUGGGACUGAGGUACGGCCCAGACUCCUACGGGAGGCAGCAGUGGGGAAUAUUGCACAAUGGGCGGAAGCCUGAUGCAGCAACGCCGCGUGCGGGAUGACGGCCUUCGGGUUGUAAACCGCUUUCGCCUGUGACGAAGCGUGAGUGACGGUAAUGGGUAAAGAAGCACCGGCUAACUACGUG